ACGGUACCGGAAGAAGAAGCACCGGCUAACUACGUGCCAGCAGCCGCGGUAAUACGUAGGGUGCGAGCGUUAAUCGGAAUUACUGGGCGUAAAGCGUGCGCAGGCGGUUUUGUAAGACAGAUGUGAAAUCCCCGGGCUUAACCUGGGAACUGCAUUUGUAACUGCAAGGCUAGAGUACGGCAGAGGGGGGUAGAAUUCCACGUGUAGCAGUGAAAUGCGUAGAUAUGUGGAGGAAUACCGAUGGCGAAGGCAGCCCCCUGGGUCGAUACUGACGCUCAUGCACGAAAGCGUGGGGAGCAAACAGGAUUAGAUACCCUGGUAGUCCACGCCCUAAACGAUGUCAACUAGGUGUUGGGGGAGGAGACUUCCUUAGUACCGCAGCUAACGCGUGAAGUUGACCGCCUGGGGAGUACGGUCGCAAGAUUAAAACUCAAAGGAAUUGACGGGGACCCGCACAAGCGGUGGAUUAUGUGGAUUAAUUCAAUGCAACGCGAAAAACCUUACCUACCCUUGACAUGCCAGGAACUUGCCAGAGAUGGCUUGGUGCCCGAAAG
rnacentral:rRNA from 1 species